rnacentral:rRNA from 1 species
AUAUUGGACAAUGGGCGCAAGCCUGAUCCAGCAAUGCCGCGUGGGUGAAGAAGGCCUUCGGGUUGUAAAGCCCUUUUGUACGGGAAGAAAUCUCGUGGGUUAAUACCUUGCGAGGAUGACGGUACCGUAAGAAUAAGCACCGGCUAACUUCGUGCCAGCAGCCGCGGUAAUACGAAGGGUGCAAGCGUUACUCGGAAUUACUGGGCGUAAAGCGUGCGUAGGUGGUUUGUUAAGUCUGAUGUGAAAGCCCUGGGCUCAACCUGGGAAUGGCAUUGGAAACUGGCUGACUGGAGUGCGGUAGAGGGUAGUGGAAUUCCCGGUGUAGCAGUGAAAUGCGUAGAUAUCGGGAGGAACAUCCGUGGCGAAGGCGACUACCUGGACCAGCACUGACACUGAGGCACGAAAGCGUGGGGAGCAAACAGG